UUCCCUUUCUCCUUUCUAUCUUCUACUUUCCUGUGCACCUGUGGACUCCGUUUCUUUCUUUUUUUCGGAAGCCUGCCCUGUAUCAAAAGGGAUUAGGUGCCACUACUACUACUACUACUACUACGUCGGGAAUUGUCGUCUGCUUCCGUCAUUGUACCGCUGCCGGCAGAACCACCUGCUGGGACACAUUCUGUUGUCGGGACGUGUUUCAGGCAUGCAAAACAGAUUUCCCUUGGACAAGACCUUUACUGGUGGGGGCCCCGUCUGCCCUCCCCUAAAUCCGCCACUGUUGCUCGGAGCACUUCGUUGGUGGAAAGCGCGUUGAACCCUAUUCCAAUGUUCCAGAUGGGCUACACUAAGAAGGUCCUGGUAGGGCGGCGACGACUAGUCAGGACAAGCUAUGAACCACCAGCUAAGAAGAUGUUUUUCGGAAUUAUUUUAAAUUUUGUUGCAGCCGAAUGAACUUAAUUUUAAGACUGAGGACGCUGAAGAUAAAACUUGGCGUUCGGAAGUUAGCGGCCAGCAUGACAGUGCUACCACUUGUGGCGUGUGACGGUCUCUUUGGACAAAAGUUUACCGAACACGUUCCGGCGUAUUCUCUCCUCAGAGUGACACGUUCACCUGUUUGCAAGUCUGUACAGUACCAUUCGCUGCUAGUGUGUCACUCUGUGAAAGGAUGAGCGUGUUCCGUAAACUUUUGUCCAGCACUGUACCACUUAAGCCAAGCCAAGCCAAGCCAAGCCAAUCCAGCGCACCUUCUGAAUUGGAGUUUCGCUCCUAUCUGUUACCCCCCUUGCGAAAACUGCCAUGUUUUGCCAAGAGAUUGCGCCGCUCCUAUUUGUCUGACGUUGGAGGUAUUUGUAUCGUAGGAAAGCAUUUUUUGUAUACUAAUGCUCUACAGCGCUCCUUUGUUUAUACAUCGCUCAGAUGUUCUACUAUAAAGCCAGGAAGAUAACCACAUUUUCAAUUUUUGCUCCUCUUUGUCAAGGUUUCACUCGAAGAAAAAAGAUGAAAGCGCUAUGUAGUUUUUCCAAGCAUGGUGUCCUGGGAUACACAAGGUGCACCACAGCCCAGUAUUAUUGAUAUUUGGCAUAGGUAAUUUAUAAACGCUCCUUAGAAAAACAAAAAAAUUUGAUUUUCUAACUUGUCAUUUCGCAUUGUUCUGUUUCCUGUCUGAAAACAAGAUCCGCACUGAAGAGAGACAAUUGUGCUCUGAACAAAUCCUGAAAUUUUCAUUGUAAUCGGGGUGUAUCAAGGGAAGCUGGAAUGCCUGGAAGCUACCCACCCAACGCCCAGCGAAACCGAAACCAUUGGGCUGCGGCAAGCGAGCUUUGCUGCAUAAGCUGGUAACCAUGGUUUCUAAGUCCCAGAGGUGUCACAGGCAAAUACCAAAUGAUGUGCACCGUGUAUUCACACGAGCGGCAUUCCCUGCAAAAGCGGAAGACGCGAAAAACGUCAUAGUCCAGUGUUCACGUACACUGCUAACCGUGCGGAAUACCCUGCAACACAGUCACAAGAUAUUCUGUAGCAGACGACAGGAAAGACAUUGACGGUGUCGUCUGCCAAGUGCGCAGUAUGCCACCCCCAAUAUUCCGCACCGUGUGAACGCUCACAUAACACGGGACGGAACUUCGUCUCUGUGAGCAGUAUUUUUGCUUUUCCUUCCACUGGAAUUUUUAUUUUUUUUAUUUUUUAUUUAAGAGAAUGCGAAUGGCAGAUACAAGAGCUCGUCACCUUGCAAACUGAAAGUUCGUAAGCUCAAUCCACAAAGCAAACAAAGUAGUCAAAUACAACGAAAGCUUGGUAGCUGCAGUGUGUACGAAGUAAUCCACACCAACCAGUGGAGGAACGGCUGCCAUUAUCAUUAUAAGUUAGCAUAAUAAACAAAAAGAAAGAGACACUUUUGCGCUCAAACCAGUGCCGGGAUAAUGUGGGCCAAUUCCCGAAAUAUAUUUUCAUUUCUGGAAUGCGCUUAGUGCCUAUCGUUCUCAAAAAAAAAAAAAUCUGCACUUUGGCUUUGAUAAAAAAAGUUAGAUUAGCUUGUCAAUUAUCGGCAUAUUUACUGGAGUUAAUAAAUUCGUAACAGCAGAUUGCGGCAAAAGGUCCAGAGCAGGGAGACUGCCGAGUGCACAUAUUUUGGAGUGGAAAUCAUUCAAAAUCACAAUAUAAUCAUUCUCAGUUCCAAAGGAGCAGAAACUGCAUGGGACACCUCACGAGGAAAUCAGGAUGAUUGUAUUUUAUAAUAAGGUGAGCAAUUGUUCAAUGUCCACACCCUCUAGGUUUAUCCUCGCAUAGUUUGUCUAAAUGCAAUGGUGUUUAAAUACAUUGUAAUUAAAAUACUAUUUAAAAUAUAAAUAUGUGGAUUUAUAUUUUGGGCAUGUACUCUCGUAAAUACUUAAUAAAUACUCCUAAAUACAGGAUUAGUUGCCCUACAUUUGAGCGUUUGGGAAGAAGGCCGAGUUUAGGGCACAGUUAUGCCACGUUUGCGCUUGCAUGCACACGCAACAAACAAUUUUAGAUGGCAAGCAACUACCCGAUUACCUUGUUGUAGGAAGCAUCUUUGUCAAAUUUUAUACGAGCCUUUGUUCAUCGGCACCUGUGAAGAUGCUGUUCUCUUUUGGCUGAACAGAAGAUGCCUAAAAGAUGCCUUCCAAUAUUCCUAUAUUAAAAUCGCCAUAAUAAUCUAACAAAUAAAUGCUAUUGUU